UACGAAGGGGGCUAGCGUUGUUCGGAAUUACUGGGCGUAAAGUGUGCGCAGGUGGCCGCGCAAGUCGAGUGUGAAAGCCCCGAGCUUAACUUGGGAAUUGCGCUCGAAACUACGUGGCUAGAGUGUGGCAGAGGAAGGUGGAAUUCCACGUGUAGCGGUGAAAUGCGUAGAGAUGUGGAGGAACACCGAUGGCGAAGGCAGCCUUCUGGGCCAACACUGACACUCAUGCACGAAAGCGCGGGGAGCAAACAGG
rnacentral:rRNA from 1 species